rnacentral:rRNA from 1 species
GAAAAUUGAGUGGCGAAUGGGUGCGUAACACGUGGGAAUUUAUCCGGAAGUGGGGGAUAGCUUGCCGAAAGGCAAAUUAAUACCGCAUAUGCCCGUAAGGGCAAAGUGGGGGACCGCAAGGCCUCACGCUAUCGGAGGAGCCCGCGCCCUAUCAGCUAGUUGGUGAGGUAAUGGCUCACCAAGGCUUAGACGGGUAGCUGGUCUGAGAGGACGACCAGCCACACUGGAACUGAGACACGGUCCAGACACCUACGGGUGGCAGCAGUCGAGGAUUUUUCUCAAUGGGGGCAACCCUGAAGGAGCGACGCCGCGUGGAGGAUGAAGGGCUUCGGCUCGUAAACUCCUGUCACCGACGAACAAGGCAUCCGGAUUAAUAAAUCGGAUGCUUGAUGGUAGUCGGAGAGGAAGGGGCGGCUAACUCUGUGCCAGCAGCCGCGGUGAUACAGAGGCCCCAAGCGUUGUUCGGAUUUACUGGGCGUAAGGGGUGUGUAGGGGGUCGGGUAAGUUUGACGUGAAAUCCCGUUGCUCAACAACGG